rnacentral:rRNA from 1 species
UACGGAGGGUGCGAGCGUUGUCCGGAAUCACUGGGCGUAAAGGGCGCGUAGGUGGCUACUCAAGCGCGCGGUGAAAGCCCGGGGCUCAACCCCGGGUCGGCCGUGCGAACUGUCGAGCUGGAGCACUGUAGAGGCAGGUGGAAUUCCGGGUGUAGCGGUGGAAUGCGUAGAGAUCCGGAAGAACACCGGUGGCGAAGGCGGCCUGCUGGGCAGUGGCUGGACGCUGAGGCGCGACAGCGUGGGGGAGCAAACAGG